AUCUCGAAUACACAGAGCAGUGUCGCUUCUCUCCCUCACACAGCCUCAUGCAAACAGGGCCUAGGGUUUCCUGUUUGAUAAUAAAAUACUGGAGGGCAUGGUGAAUUUGCAUUAUUCAUGACACUGGUCCAUGAUUCAGAUUCACCAUGCCCAUUGCAUUGGGAAAGGUUGCCUACUGUUCCUCCUUUCUUCUUUGGCCAUUCAUUCAGAGCCUAUAUGUGGCACCAUUGCCCAUGGGUCUGCAUGGGAGUUGCAACCCAGUUUGUGUCCUUAGUUUCUGGGAAGAAGAAGGGAUCGAUUUGGUCCUUCUUCAACCUCCAUGUCUUGCUCUUGGUGAGGUUGGCAGAAAAGUGGGGUCAUUGGCCUUGAAUAAUGUAAUGAUUGUUCCUUUGUUUAAUUGGCAGGAGUGAAAUGGUUUUUGUGUUGCAAUGUUCUAGUCCGUAACCCCCACAAACAUUAGAGGAAAAAAAGGAAAAAAUUGUUUAGUGUUUACCUUUGAAUUUAUGUGGCUGAUUUCUGUCUCUUUUUGUGAUCAGAGUUCAUCUUGUUCUUCUCUCUGCCGUUUUUCUCCAGUAUUACUGCCCUUUGUUCCUCCUAGUCAAAAUUUCUCUUUAAUGGCAGGAACUCCUUCAGCACUGGCCUCUUAGAUUCUUCAGAUUCCAUAUUUCACUACUCUUCUCAUCUUCCUUUUUGAAAACCUCAACAGUUGGAACCAAGAAAACAAGAAAAUAAAGUAAAUAAACAAUUACCAAUUGAUCAGAAUCAUUAAAAGUAAAAACUUCAAAGAGCCCCCUAGAAGAUAGCCUACCAUACUUGAGAAUCAAUGUGCAAUAAGGAUUUGUUUUUGUAGUCAUUCAUCUUGACCAUCUCUUGCUCUAACUUCUCAAGAGUCAAGAUCAUCAUUCAGUGCCUCCAAUCUCUCAGAAACACCCUUAGUUUUAGAAAGGUAAUCCAAAGAUCGGUGUUGUUGUUGGGGAUGUAAGUCUAUUUUUGGCACCCAAACUCAAUUCCAGAGAGCUUGAAGAUUAUUGGAUCUCUGUGUGGUGAAAUCUGAGUACAAGAGGAAACAGGAGGGGUGGUUUUGAGUUAUGAAAAAAGAGAGAAGAAGGUGAGAAUUGGGAUUAGGGCAUUGAAAAAUCCCUAGAGAAGGCUUUGGUGACAUCAGAGAUUCUCCGUGUGAAGUUCUUUCAGGUUUUGAUAGCCACAUAUCCUUGCUCAGGUUGUCGCAUAUCUGCUGUUCUCUAGGAACUUGAAAAUGUGGGGUGAACUUCUAUGGAAUGAUGUCCCAGAAAUUCAAGAAGGGUUGGAUAUGUAUUCAGUCAAACAAUUUGGAUCAAAUUGAGCACCGAAUCAAACCUGAAACAGAUCAAAGAAAAUUGUUCAUGUGAUGUUGGGUUGCUGAGAAGAUGGGAAAGCCCAAGAAUCUGAAAUUUUGCUCAGUUCCAACUCUUUGAGGUUAUGAAACAAGAAGGCGAGAGGAUGAAACAAAGUAUGAAAUCUGAAGAAUCUAAGGAUUCCGAACUGAAGGAAUUCUUGCCAUUAAACAGAAGCUUUGAUGAGGAAGAACAAAAGACAGUAAUCCUGGAGAAAGGAUGGCAGGGAAGGGAAGAAUUAGGUGAAAUAUGGCCAUGGAAAGAAGCACAAAUCAGCCAUUGAAAUUCCAAAGGCAAACCCUCAACUAUAAUUUUCCUUUUUCUCUUGUGUUUUGAAGGUUAAUAGAAUUUUGCAGUUAAAAAAUCCUUUUAUGCCUCUAAUUUUAGAGCCUGGUUUGUGGUUGGGUUCCUUGUCACUCAGACCAUGCAACUUACCAAAGAGAUCAAAUAACAGAUUACCAAUUUGGAAAUAUUUCAUUUUUUU